UACGUAGGGUGCGAGCGUUGUCCGGAAUCACUGGGCGUAAAGCGCGCGUAGGCGGUCUGUUAAGUGGGAUGUGAAAUCCCCGGGCUUAACCUGGGAAUUGCAUUUCAAACUGGCCGACUAGAGUACGGUAGAGGGAGGUAGAAUUUCCUGUGUAGCGGUGAAAUGCGUAGAUAUAGGAAGGAAUACCAGUGGCGAAGGCGGCCUCCUGGAUCGAUACUGACGCUGAGGCGCGAAAGCGUGGGGAGCAAACAGG
rnacentral:rRNA from 1 species